rnacentral:rRNA from 1 species
AUGGUUAAAGCGGCGACGAUAAUACGUUCGGGCGAUGGCCAGAGGGCCAAAUUUUGGACGGAGAAAUGGCUGCCAGGUGGGCGGUCCAUUGAUGAGCUGACCGUUGCCUUGAUUUCCUUCGUCAAAGAUUCUGGUCGCUCGGUGAAGGAGGCCCUUGCUAAUGGGGGCUGGAUUAGGGAGAUCUCAGGAGGCAUCUCGGCCCAGGCCAUGACGCAAUAUCUACAAGUUUGGGACCUCGUUCAAGACACAGUUCUAUCUACGUAGGCUCCGGAUAGCUUGGUUUUGGGGGCUGACGGGUGA